UACGUAGGGUGCAAGCGUUGUCCGGAAUUAUUGGGCGUAAAGAGCUCGUAGGCGGUCUGUCGCGUCGGCUGUGAAACCUCCAGGCUCAACCUGGUGACGCCACCCGAUACUGCCGUGACUUGAGUUCGGUAGGGGAGCGGGGAAUUCCUGGUGUAGCGGUGAAAUGCGCAGAUAUCAGGAGGAACACCUAUAGCGAAGGCAGCUUGCUGGGACGUUACUGACGCUAAGGCGCGAAAGCGUGGGGAGCGAACAGG
rnacentral:rRNA from 1 species